rnacentral:tRNA from 1 species
GCCUGGGUGGCUCAGUCGGUUAAGUGUCUGACUUUGGCUCAGGUCAUGAUGUCAUGGUUCGUGGGUUUGAGCCCCACAUCGGGCU